AUUGAACGCUGGCGGCAGGCCUAACACAUGCAAGUCGAACGGCAGCACAGAAGAGCUUGCUCUUUGGGUGGCGAGUGGCGGACGGGUGAGUAAUGUCUGGGAAACUGCCCGAUAGAGGGGGAUAACUACUGGAAACGGUAGCUAAUACCGCAUAACGUCGCGAGACCAAAGUGGGGGACCUUCGGGCCUCACACCAUCGGAUGUGCCCAGAUGGGAUUAGCUAGUAGGUGGGGUAAUGGCUCACCUAGGCGACGAUCCCUAGCUGGUCUGAGAGGAUGACCAGCCACACUGGAACUGAGACACGGUCCAGACUCCUACGGGAGGCAGCAGUGGGGAAUAUUGCACAAUGGGCGCAAGCCUAAUGCAGCCAUGCCGCGUGUAUGAAGAAGGCCUUCGGGUUGUAAAGUACUUUCAGCGGGGAGGAAGGCGGUGAGGUUAAUAACCUCGCCGAUUGACGUUACCCGCAGAAGAAGCACCGGCUAACUCCGUGCCAGCCGCCGCUGUAA
rnacentral:rRNA from 1 species